rnacentral:rRNA from 1 species
GGGGGGAGCAAGCGUUGUUCGGAUUUACUGGGCGUAAAGGGCGCGUAGGCGGCCAGCACAAGUCAGUUGUGAAAUCUCCGAGCUUAACUCGGAAAGGUCAACUGAUACUGUGCGGCUAGAGUGCGGAAGGGGCAACUGGAAUUCUUGGUGUAGCGGUGAAAUGCGUAGAUAUCAAGAGGAACACCUGCGGCGAAGGCGGGUUGCUGGGCCGACACUGACGCUGAGGCGCGAAAGCCAGGGGAGCGAACGGGAUUAGAUACCCCGGUAGUCCUGGCCUUAAACGAUGAAUGCUUGGUGUCUGGGGUUAUAUAGUCCCCGGGUGCCGUCGCUAACGCUUUAAGCAUUCCGCCUGGGGAGUACGGUCGCA